rnacentral:sRNA from 1 species
CGAAUCGAAGGUUCUGAAACGUCGGCC